rnacentral:rRNA from 1 species
GAUGAACGCUGGCGGCGUGCUUAACACAUGCAAGUCGAACGAUGAAGCCCAGCUUGCUGGGUGGAUUAGUGGCGAACGGGUGAGUACACGUGAGUAACCUGCCCUUAACUCUGGGAUAAGCCUGGGAAACUGGGUCUAAUACCGGAUAGGAGCGCCUACCGCAUGGUGGGUGUUGGAAAGAUUUAUCGGUUUUGGAUGGACUCGCGGCCUAUCAGCUUGUUGGUGAGGUAAUGGCUCACCAAGGCGACGACGGGUAGCCGGCCUGAGAGGGUGACCGGCCACACUGGGACUGAGACACGGCCCAGACUCCUACGGGAGGCAGCAGUGGGGAAUAUUGCACAAUGGGCGAAAGCCUGAUGCAGCGACGCCGCGUGAGGGAUGACGGCCUUCGGGUUGUAAACCUCUUUCAGUAGGGAAGAAGCGAAAGUGACGGUACCUGCAGAAGAAGCACCGGCUAACUACGUG